rnacentral:rRNA from 1 species
UACGUUCCCGGGCCUUGUACACACCGCCCGUCAAGCCAUGGAAGCUGGGGGUGCCUGAAGUCGGUGACCGCGAAGGAGCUGCCUAGGGUAAACUGGUAACUAGGGCU